AUUGAACGCUGGCGGCAUGCUUUACACAUGCAAGUCGGACGAGUGGCGAACGGGUGAGUAACGCAUCGGAACGUACCGAGUAAUGGGGGAUAACUGUCCGAAAGGACAGCUAAUACCGCAUAUUAUUCGAGCGGCCGAUGUCUGAUUAGCUGGUUGGCGGGGUAAAGGCCCACAAAGGCGACGAUCAGUAGCGGGUCUGAGAGGAUGAGCGGCCACAUGGGUACUGAGACACGGCCCAGCGUCCGACGGAGGGCAGCAGGGGGGAAGUUUGGACAAUGGGCGCAAGCCUGACCCAGCCAUGCCGGGGGUCUGAAGAAGGCCUUCGGGUUUUAAAGGACUUUUGUCAGGGAAGCGGUACCUGAAGAAUAAGCACCGGCUAACUACGUGCCAGCAGCCGCGGUAAUAC
rnacentral:rRNA from 1 species